rnacentral:rRNA from 1 species
AGCAGCCGCGGUAAUUCCAGCUCCAAUAGCGUAUAUUAAAGUUGUUGCAGUUAAAAAGCUCGUAGUUGAAUUUCGGGGUUAGCAGGUCGGUCGUGCCAUCGGUAUGAACUGGUCUCGCUGAUCCCUCCCUCUUGACGAACUGUGAUGCCAUUAAUUUGGUGUCGCAGGGAAUCAGGACAUGUUACUUUGAAAAAAAUUAGAGUGUUUAAAGCAGGCUCACGCUUGAAUACAUUAGCAUGGAAUAAUGAAAUAGGACGUUUGAUCCUAUUUUGUUGGCUUCUAGGAUUGACGUAAUGAUUAAUAGGGAUAGUUGGGGGCAUUAGUAUUCAAUUGUCAGAGGUGAAAUUCUUGGAUUUAUUGAAGACUAACUACUGCGAAAGCAUUUGCCAAGGAUGUUUUCAUUAAUCAAGAACGAAAGUUAGGGGAUCGAAGACGAUCAGAUACCGUCGUAGUCUUAACCAUAAACUAUGCCGACUAGGGAUCGGAUGAUGUUAAUUUUUUAAUGACUCAUUCGGCGCCU